GAUGAACGCUGGCGGCGUGCCUAAUACAUGCAAGUCGAGCGAACGGACGAGAAGCUUGCUUCUCUGAUGUUAGCGGCGGACGGGUGUGUAACACGUGGAUAACCUACCUAUAAGACUGGGAUAACUUCGGGAAACCGGAGCUAAUACCGGAUAAUAUUUUGAACCGCAUGGUUCAAAAGUGAAAGACGGUCUUGCUGUCACUUAUAGAUGGAUCCGCGCUGCAUUAGCUAGUUGGUAAGGUAACGGCUUACCAAGGCAACGAUGCAUAGCCGACCUGAGAGGGUGAUCGGCCACACUGGAACUGAGACACGGUCCAGACUCCUACGGGAGGCAGCAGUAGGGAAUCUUCCGCAAUGGGCGAAAGCCUGACGGAGCAACGCAGCGUGAGUGAUGAAGGUCUUCGGAUCGUAAAACUCUGUUAUUAGGGAAGAACAUAUGUGUAAGUAACUGUGCACAUCUUGACGGUACCUAAUCAGAAAGCCACGGCUAACUACGUG
rnacentral:rRNA from 1 species